rnacentral:rRNA from 1 species
AUGCUGCGCCACCUCGACCCGACGCGCCGUCCGCGGGAGAGCCACUCGAUCACCGUUGCCUCCCUGGCGGUGGAUCAAGCCGUCUUCUUCCUUCGCAACCAUGCCGUCACUCUGCGCUCUGCCGACGGGGUGAACGCCACAUCCCCCAUGGCGGUGGGAAGGGCAAUCGAGGCGCAGCUCACUGUCCCCGAGCACCUGCUGCGAGUUACCGCCCACCACCCCGAGCACUACCUCGUCAUCUUCAGCCAGCCGGCGCACCAAGUCAACGCCGUCCGGAGGGGCUCCGUUCGGGUCGACGGCGCCACCUUCAACAUCGCACCGUGGCACGAACACGACCACGCCAGCUUCGACACGCUGCACCUGCACGUCCGCGUCGUCAUCGAGAAGGUUCCCAUGUAGUUCUGGUCGGUUGAAGGGGCGGAUGAGAUCCUGGGCAAGCGUGUGCGCGUUGACCGCCUCGACGGCCGGACCCAUGAGCGCGGCCACACCAAGACCUUCGCGUGCUGGGUAUGGACCAGCGAUGUCGCCAACAUCCCCACCAAGCAUUCGCUGGGGGUGUUGCCGCGCGGUGCCGGUCGGGUGGAAGAGAUGGAGGGUUUCUCUCCCCCCGACAGGCGGGUGGCUCCCCCGCCAACCGCUGCUGACUACACCAUGCUCAUCCACGUCGAUCGCGUUGAAGAUUGGACGCCGCCCUCGCCGCGCUCUUCCCGCUCUAGGCAGAGCGGGCUUCCGUCCUCCGACUCCGACAAGGACGACCGCCCCUUCCCCGAGGUCCUCUCCGGCACGUGGACGAUGGAGGUCGAAGAUGGCCAGCAUGGCAAUUGA